UUGGAUGCAGCUUCUCUUAAUUAUUUUAACAAUUCUUUCCAAAAGCUGGGCGGUGGAGACUGCUUUUCAAAUGCAACUUGUGCAAGUGGUGUGUGAUGUGACCAAUAGAUGCUAAGCAAAAAAUUUAUGUAAGGAGCAAAGAAAGGAGUUGUAGGGGUUGGACAUUCUCUUUGGGCACUUGUUGCCAUGUAAGAGAACAAGGAGUAGCCAAUCAAAAGAAUUUCUCCAACAAUUGGAGAGAGAGUCAAUAGCUUUAAGCACUAGUGUUACUACAACACAAAGGGAGAAAGAGCAAGGAUUUUGACAAACUUGAGACGUGAGCACCGUGGUCAACCCACCAAAAAAAAUCUCAAAGUUUGUUAUUUAUGCCUUUUAUUCCUUUUGUGUAUUUAUUUGUAUUGAUAUAUUCGUAAUAAUGCUAGGUUAAAUAUCUGGAUCUAGUUAUGAGAUUUAUCUAUUAAUUUAAAAAUGCAACUUUGAAUAGUUUGAUUUGUGUUAUAUGCUUAAAUUCCUGAUUUAA
rnacentral:lncRNA from 1 species